rnacentral:rRNA from 1 species
CCUACGGGAGGCAGCAGUGAGGAAUAUUGGUCAAUGGCCGAGAGGCUGAACCAGCCAAGUAGCGUGAGGGAAGACGGCCCUACGGGUUGUAAACCUCUUUUAUCGGGGAGCAAAGCGAACCACGUGUGGUUAUUUGAGUGUACCCGAAGAAAAAGCAUCGGCUAACUCCGUGCCAGCAGCCGCGGUAAUACGGAGGAUACGAGCGUUAUCCGGAUUUAUGGGGUUUAAAGGGUGCGCAGGCGGAGGUGCAAGUCAGCGGUAAAAUUGAGGGGCUCAACCCCGUACUGCCGUUGAAACUGAAGCCCUUGAGUGCGCGAGAAGUAUGCGGAAUGCGUGGUGUAGCGGUGAAAUGCAUAGAUAUCACGCAGAACUCCGAUUGCGAAGGCAGCAUACCAGCGCGCAACUGACGCUCAUGCACGAAAGCGUGGGUAUCGAACAGGAUUAGAUACCCCUGUAGUC